UAAGGAAUAUUGCUCAAUGGGAGAAAUUCUGAAGCAGCAACGCCGCGUGGAGGAUGAAGGGUCUAUGACUUGUAAACUCCUGUAAAGAAGGAAAAAAUUCCCAUUUGAUGGGAGAUGAUGGUACUUCUGGAGUAAGCCCCGGCUAACUACGUGCCAGCAGCCGCGGUAAUACGUAGGGGGCAAGCGUUGUCCGGAUUUACUGGGUGUAAAGGGUGCUCAGGCGGAUUUGUAAGUCAGAGGUGAAAUCUUACAGCUUAACUGUGAAACUGCCUUUGAUACUGCAAGCCUAGAGUAUGGAAGAGAGUGAUGGAAUAUCUGGUGUAGCAGUGAAAUGCGUAGAUAUCAGAUAGAACACCAAUGGCGAAGGCAGUCACUUGGUCCAUUACUGACGCUAAAGCACGAAAGCGUGGGUAGCAAACA
rnacentral:rRNA from 1 species